AUAAUGAUGUUGCUAAAUAAAAAUUAAAAGAAGAAAAAGAAGUAGAAAAUUAUAUAUUGAGGUGUUGAGAGCAUAUGGGGGGUGGAGAUGGAAAAAUAGUAGAGAUGAGAAUAAUGGAGAAUAAACAUAAUUUUAAUUCUCAUUAAACCAAUUUAUUUACAAUAAUAAUGUCAUUGUCCUUGGGCAUUAAUCUAUAGGUGAAGGUUAGGAAAUAGGAAUGGUCAACAUUCUGAUAAAAACAAAAAUAAAAUAAAAUUAAGAGUGCGUGUGAGAAAGGGAGAAUGCACGUGGGAGAGAAGAGAAUGAAGGGGAGGAAGGAACUCGAUCUCAAACCUUAGGGAAAUCACUGCAAAAACAAAUUUUCAGGUAGGAUACGAAUCAUAGAUGGUGUGUUCGGAUCGUUGUUGCUUUGCUAUUUAUUUGGAGUCGCUCUGUUAGGAUGUUGUUGGGAGAAACUUUUAUUUAAUUAUGUUGUUAAAUUUUUAUAACAAUUGAACUAUGUCACUUGAUUCAGUAUUUUCAAUUUGGACUUUGAAACUUAUAUUA